UGGAGAAGAUCUUUUUUAUAUUCAGCCAUGCCAAUUGACCUUCUACCCUCUCCAUAGCCAAAGGAAUCCCCAAAUUUCCACAGAAAGGCAUUUUUAUAUGAAGAAGCUCAUCCCUGUGUACCUUUCUCUUGAAUGCCUACUAUGAGUCACUCAGCAAGAGAGGCACCCAGCUCCCUCAGGGUCUGCGGGUCCUCAGAGGCAUUCAUACUGAGCUUACAUCCCCCAGAAUCCAGUGAGGAUUUGAUCUCCAUCAGCAAAGCCGAGGUUGAUCUCAGGUCUCUCAUCCUCCACCCUGCACUCAGGCAACAAAAGCAUUCUAUCAGAUGCUGUAUUACACAGCUCUGAUGUGCCGGGCUGGUCCUGGGUGGCAAGGAUACAUUU
rnacentral:antisense_RNA from 1 species